rnacentral:rRNA from 1 species
AUACGGAGGGUGCAAGCGUUACUCGGAAUCACUGGGCGUAAAGCGCGCGCAGGCGGCUUGAUAAGUUGGAUGUGAAAGCCUACGGCUCAACCGUAGAACUGCAUCCAAAACUGUCAAGCUAGAGUCUGGGAGGGGAAGAUGGAAUUAGUUGUGUAGGGGUAAAAUCCGUAGAGAUAACUAGGAAUACCAAAAGCGGAGGCGAUCUUCUGGAACAGUACUGACGCUGAGGCGCGAAAGCGUGGGGAGCAAACAGGAUUAGAAACCCGAGUAGUCC